rnacentral:lncRNA from 1 species
AUCUUGAACUAGAAAUACCAUUUGACCCAGCCAUCCCAUACCCAAAAGAUUAUAAAUCAUGCUGCUAUAAAGACACAUGCACACGUAUGUUUAUUGCGGCACUAUUCACAAUAGCAAAGACUUGGAAAGCCUGGUUUCUAAUGAGGUUUUGUUUAGGGUCAUUGCUUUGAUCUUUUAAAACAUUGCACGUUUUCAUCAGUAUAAUUGGUUAUGUGUUGCAAACUAUUAAAGGUGGAAAGAGCAAUUCUUAAAAUUAAACUCUCUCUCCAUUCACCUUCACCUUAUGUAUCCAAGACCUUUAAAGUUCCACCUCCUCUGAGAUGACUUCUCUAAUGAAUCCAACCACAUGGUUUAUUCACAUUAUGUGACAUUAUAUGUGGCCUCUGGCAUGAAACCAUUAGCAAAUAAGCAUGGAUCUAAUUUGUUUUUUUAUAUAUCUCCACCCAAAAUAAAUAAAUAAAUAAACAGAGACAAGGACUUAGGUGCAAGGAGUUUAUUUUGGAGAUACCCCCAGGAAGCAGCAGUUAGGGAAUGGGGAGAUUGAAACAAAGAGGUAGGAAGAAACCAUAAGAGGUGCUGUUAACCACCAUGGGCAAGUGGUGCUCGAUGCAGCUGGGGACUAAUUCUUGAGUGACAGGUAGGAUGUACCUAAGAAUUUCCUUCUAAGGGACAGGAGGUUAAGGAAUCUAUCAUAUUUUCUAGUGGUUGAAGUUUGCCUCUGGAGCAUCAAUUUUCCAAAGUUCUGUGCUACCCAAAAGGCAGAUCAAGCCAGCUCCUGGGCCUUUGGAAAAAGUCUUGAGGCAGAAGUGCAGAGGGGUGGGAGGUGCUUAAAGUGGGAUGACGUCAUUUUGCAUGGGAACUGUCCAGCACAGCUAUAGUGGAAAUUAGUGGUGGAUCAAGAGAUUGUAGCAGAGGGCACAAAAAGUGUCUAUUUCAGCAUAAAAACUGUGUUGUUAAUUAAAAAUAAAAUUUUGUUUAAAAUGAUGUUUUUAACAAUAUCACUGAAGAUAUAAACACUCAUUUCUCUUAGUGUCAUAGAGAGACUGACUGAUCAGCUGACUCAGUCUGAGAAUGCCCAAGUAUUAAAUGAGCACUUGUCGAACACUAGUUGAGCAGUAUGAAGCAAUGCACAAGUUAAAGUCAAGAUGCCCAACUCUCAAGGAGCUUGCAAUCUUACAGGGAUUAUCAACAUUCACAAACAAACUAACACAUAACUGGUAGUUCUGACUACAAAGGCAGAAAAAGUGAGAGACAGCAUCAUGUAGCGGUUAAAAGCUUCCACUCUGGAGUCAGAGAGACCUAGGUUUAAAAUUAAUCUAGGAUUUGCAGUGUGAUCUUGGACAAGGGUCUUAAUCUCUCUGUGUCACAAUUUCUUCAUCUGAUGGUUAGAAAAAUAACUAUCUGCUUCAUGGAGUUGUCUGAAAAGUAAAUGCAAGUAAAGCACUAAUCACAGCACCCGGCACAUAAAUAUUCAUUAAAUGUCAGUUGUUUUGUGAAAAUUAAAGAGAAACGUAACAGUAGAAUGGGAUUUAAAGAAGAGAAGUAUCUCC